CUAGAAUUCAGGGUGUGGGCUCCUGUGCUGAUACUCUCCAGUCCCCUCUCCUAAAGCGCUAUAACCUAACAGGUAUACCUCUCUACCUUUACUUCUCUUGUCUGCUUUUUUUUGACGCAGGAUGAGGCUCAAGAGUUAACCCAUCUAUGGCAGAAGAUGCAGAUCAGGACAGCAGCUCUUCUCUGCUCAUCCGGCAUGUCGAGAACACAGUAAAGACCUUUGAGGAGCUAUUCAGGAGCAAUAGCACUGACCACUAUAUGGAGCAGCAUUUCUGCGAGCCAGUAGCCAAAGACGGCCAGCUGGCAGAGAGUCUUGCCAGAAAAUUCAGCACGGAUGACUGUACCAGUAAGAAGAAUCAAGCAGGACAGGUGCCUUCGACUCUCAGUAUCUUGAGGAAGAUGCAUAAUGUGGGUAAAGUGAUGGAAGUCCUAGAGACCAAGCGGGAUGCCCGGUCCCAGACUCAGCCCCAGAUCCGAUGCAGCAGCCACACCCAGUCUGCCCCCAUCACUCCCUGAGCAGCACCUCCCCGUGGCUUGACAAGCAGGAAGUGCAUCCUGCAGUGACUGUCAUCAGUGAGUACCACAGGGCUCCAGGUUUUGGUGUCACACAUUGUCUAGGCCACGAGGUGGCAUCUUGGCAGCCAGGCCCUGUAGGUCCACCGUGAUGUACCUGGUUGGGCACAACUCUGGUACUCAGUGCUGAGCAUGAGCCCCAAGGGUUUCAAGUAGCUUUUCUCCAUUCCUAGUCUCACAUGUUAUCAGUCACUAGAUCCUCUCUGACACAUCCAUGGUGCUGGACUUCGGGGGCAUGAGUUGGGAAGGGGAAAAGGGGUCAAAUAGUCCCUCUUCACUGCAACACAAUUACAUCAUCUUUCAAACUAGGGACAUGAAUGUUGCUGACAUUGUGCACCUGAUCCUGGAAUCCCUGGGAUAAAUUGCCACGGUUCCUAUUUUCUGUUCACAACUACAUCAUCUUUAUUAUUUGUGAAAUUACAGAUCCCAUCCAUCAUCCUAAUAAGCUUGCUAUAACACCCUCUAAACCAUCAGUAAAUGGGGACAUGCUGUGAGGUUCAAGCUGAGUCUGUCACCAACACCACCGGCAUGUCCAUCCUGAGAAUUUCCCCGAGAGGGUCCUUGGGGUAGCCGUGGUAGAGAUGGGAAGAGGAGAUUAAGUUUUAAACCAGAACUUCAUUUUCUCCUGCUCAGUUUUCGCUUUAAUUUCCUUCCUGAGGAAAGUGUUUGAAGCUUUAUUGUUUGAAGCUUUAGGUCGGGAUGAAUUAAAUCCUAAUGUGGAUAAUACCAUGAAAUUAUUUGUAGUCCCUGGCUAUAUCUGAUGUUUUUCCUAAUUGGCUAUUUUAGGCAGUGAAUGAGCCAUGAAGGUUUUGUUGUUGUUGUUUUGAGACCGAGUUUUGCUCUUGUCACCCAAGCUGGAGUGCAGUGCCAUUAUCCUGGCUCACUGAAACCUCUGGCUUCCGGGUUCAAAUGAUUCUCCUGCCUCAGCCUCUCAAGUAGCUGGGAUUACAGGUGCUCACCACCACCCCCAGCUAAGUUUUCUGUUUUUGGUUGAGACAAGGUUUCAUCAUGUUGGCUAGGCUGGUCUCGAACUUUGGACCUCAGGUGAUCCACCUGCCUCAGCUUCCCAAAAUGCUGGGCUUACAUGCAUGAGCCAUCUCACCUGGCCCACAUGGGCUUUGAUCUGGUACUAUUCCCAUUUCUCAUUUCACCCUGAGGGACAAAGCAACAAAAUGUUUCCUCUAGGACUAUAGCAGCCAAGAAAAGACAGGAACUUCCCAAUGACUGAGCACCUACUAUGCUCACAGUACUGACGACUAUGCUCACAGUACUGACCACUACCCGUAUGUUGCCUCAUUUAAUGGACACAGGGAUCCCCUCAAGUAAGUAGUGGUGUUCUGGUUUUUUAGUGGAGGACAGUGAGGCUCAGUAAAGUUAAGGAAUUUCUGAAGACAAAGAAGUUUGG
ensembl:lincRNA